CCUACAGGCGGCAGCAGUGGGGAAUCUUGCGCAAUGGGCGAAAGCCUGACGCAGCCAUGCCGCGUGAAUGAUGAAGGUCUUAGGAUUGUAAAAUUCUUUCACCGGGGACGAUAAUGACGGUACCCGGAGAAGAAGCCCUGGCUAACUUCGUGCCAGCAGCCGCGGUAAUACGAAGGGGGCUAGCGUUGCUCGGAAUUACUGGGCGUAAAGGGAGCGUAGGCGGAUAGUUUAGUCAGAGGUGAAAGCCCAGGGCUCAACCUUGGAAUUGCCUUUGAUACUGGCUAUCUUGAGUGUGGGAGAGGUAUGUGGAACUCCGAGUGUAGAGGUGAAAUUCGUAGAUAUUCGGAAGAACACCAGUGGCGAAGGCGACAUACUGGCCCAUUACUGACGCUGAGGCUCGAAAGCGUGGGGAGCAAACAGGAUUAGAUACCCUAGUAGUC
rnacentral:rRNA from 1 species